rnacentral:rRNA from 1 species
AUUGAACGCUGGCGGCAGGCCUAACACAUGCAAGUCGAACGGUAACAGGAAGAAGCUUGCUUCUUUGCUGACGAGUGGCGGACGGGUGAGUAAUGUCUGGGAAACUGCCUGAUGGAGGGGGAUAACUACUGGAAACGGUAGCUAAUACCGCAUAACGUCGCAAGACCAAAGAGGGGGACCUUCGGGCCUCUUGCCAUCGGAUGUGCCCAGAUGGGAUUAGCUAGUAGGUGGGGUAACGGCUCACCUAGGCGACGGUCCCUAGCUGGUCUGAGAGGAUGACCAGCCACACUGGAACUGGGACACGGUCCAGACUCCUACGGGAGGCAGCAGUGGGGAAUAUUGCACAAUGGGCGCAAGCCUGAUGCAGCCAUGCCGCGUGUAUGAAGAAGGCCUUCGGGUUGUAAAGUACUUUCAGCGGGGAGGAAGGGAGUAAAGUUAAUACCUGUGCUCAUUGACGUUACCCGCAGAAGAAGCACCGGCUAACUCCGUG